GACACUUUGGCCGAGUGGUUAAGGCGUUAGCCUGCUAAGUUAAUGGGAGUUAUCCCGCGUGAGUUCGAACCUCACAGGUGUCG
rnacentral:tRNA from 1 species